UACGAAGGGGGCUAGCGUUGCUCGGAAUUACUGGGCGUAAAGCGCACGUAGGCGGCUUUCUAAGUCGGGGGUGAAAUCCUGGAGCUCAACUCCAGAACUGCCUUCGAUACUGGAGAGCUCGAGUCCGGGAGAGGUGAGUGGAACCGCGAGUGUAGAGGUGAAAUUCGUAGAUAUUCGCAAGAACACCAGUGGCGAAGGCGGCUCACUGGCCCGGUACUGACGCUGAGGUGCGAAAGCGUGGGGAGCAAACAGG
rnacentral:rRNA from 1 species